CUUUAUUGGAGAGUUUGAUCCUGGCUCAGGAUGAACGCUGGCGGCGUGCCUAAUACAUGCAAGUCGAGCGAAUGGAUUGAGAGCUUACUCUCAAGAAGUUAGCGGCGGACGGGUGAGUAACACGUGGGUAACCUGCCCAUAAGACUGGGAUAACUCCGGGAAACCGGGGCUAAUACCGGAUAACAUUUUGAACCG
rnacentral:rRNA from 1 species